rnacentral:lncRNA from 10 species
CACCCAGGCUAUAGUGCAAUGGCGUGAUCUCAGCUCACUGCAACCUCCACCUCCCUGAUUCAAGUGAUUCUCCUGCCUCAGCCUUCUGAGUAGCUGGGAUUAUAGGCGCGCGCCACCACGCCCAGCUAAUUUUUGUAUUUUAAUAGAGACGGGGUUUCACCAUAUUGGCCAGGCUGGUCUCCGAGCUCCUGACCUCAGGUGAUCCGCCUGCUUUGGCCUCUCAAAGUGCUGGGAUUAUAGGCGUGAGCCACCGCGUCCGGCCCAGGGACACGAUUAUUAAAGGGCAGAGAGCCAGACUGGGGAGGCAGGUGUGCUCCAUUCCCAAGCCCAUGCUUGCCCUGGCUCUGCCGGGAAGACAGUAGGUGCUUUGCUUCCUGAGAAAGGUCAGGAAGAGGCGUGGCUCCUCCAGCUGUACAGACGACCAGGCCAGAUCCACAUGGCCCCGUUUGGUGCUUGGAUGUCUGGUAAACUGCCUGCCAAGGAGGAACGCAGGUGAGACUAAAGAGCUACAAAGUGAGUGUUCUGGACACUGUGAGAAUCUACAACUGGAGAAGCCAACAUUGCCUGUGGACUGAGAGCCACAUCCCAGAAAGUGAUGUUCAAGUUGAGAUGGGAAAGAUGGGUUGGAAAUGGGGGGGCAGGGGGAUGAGGGAGGAGGAUACUGGGGGAGAAAAGAAAAAUCCUGGCCGAGGAAACUAAGUAUGUCAGGCUUCUGAGGAGUGGGGAGGCAGCAUGGUGGACCAGAGGGGCUUCGAGAAGCCCGAGAGGACAGAGGGAAUGCUUGACACAUCAAGCCUUUGUUUUCUCUCAUCCAGAUGUCCAGUGGUCUCAGGCAAAGGCCCAGGCAAUGGAAGCUUCCCAUGGGGCCCUCUACCUCUUCACUGCUCCAGGUGGGCCCAGGCUCAUCAGACCACAGGCCCCCCAUCGCCUUCUCAGGGGCUCCCCCAUGCUAGCCGGGAAAUCAAGGUCAACACAGGCUCCACACUCCCCUGAGUCCUGCACCUACCCCAGGCUUGCUGAGGGCCUCCAGAGGACAGCUUCUGUCCCUCCUACCACAGGUUGGAUCUACAGCCUGACCUGGCCAUUCCUCCAGUGUUUGGAGAAUCAUUGCCUAGCCUUCAUUCAGGAGCCAGAUUGCCUGGGCUAGAAUCCCAGCUCCACCAUUCACCAGCUGUGUAAACUCCCUGGGCCUCAGUUUUCUCACCUGUAAAAUGGGAUUCAUUGGACUGUUAUGGAUUAAAUGAGUUGACGUUUAUAAAGAACUUAGAAGAACACCUUAUUUAUUUGUUAUGUAUAAAAUGAAAUUCCAUCCUGCCUAAUAAAUAUCGGGAACAGCUCUGGGUGGAGAGGUGAUGUGCCAGGGAGGGGUCAUCUCAAGUCUAAGAGAUAGAGGGUGACCCAUCUGGUAGCAGACAGCAGCGGAAGCUGCUUGCCUGGCCUCUCUGGGUUUGAGGGCAGGGAUGUCUCUUCUAGCUUGAACACAGCCUACACUCCAGUUCUGUGACUUCAGGUGGGUUUGGCAUCAAAAGCCUUCAGGGCUCCUCUUAUGUGAUCAUGAGUUUCCUGUUGAGAUCCUUCUGGCUGGAACAAGCUUCUUGAUCCCCCAGAAGUGCCCAGUACUUUUGUCACCUGUGUCUGUGCCUUUGCUUGGGGAUGCUGGGACUACAGAGCAAUAGAUUUUCUCUCUGUCUCACCUUCUGUUUUCUUCUUUGUUCUUCUCCAUCUCAAAAAGGAAGGAGCAAAAUGCCUCUGCUCAGGGGUAGAUUUUUCUGUCCAAGCUGAAUCAGGUUACCUCCCAAUUAUUUGUUAAUGGGAAACAGCCAGUCCUUCCAUCUGGGGGACACACAAUUGUGUAAUAUAUGCCAUCCCAGUUGAUCCUCAAUAACCUGUACAGCAGGCAGAGCUUGGCCUAUGCCACAGAUGCAGAAACUGAGGCUCAAAGGGCCAAGAGAACUUGUGCUCGGCCAGAAAACCUGUUGUAAAGAAUCACCAUCAAUUCUAUGACCUGUUACAUGUGCACAGUCUUUGUAAUUUACAAAGCAUCUUCACAGCCAGUUUCCUAAGGGAGCAUCACAAAACCCCUGCAGAGUAAAACAGGGCAGCUAUUAUUAUUCGUGAUUUACAGAUGGGAAAACAAGGGCUUGGAAGAUCAGAGAUAUUCACGUUGUUCCAUGGCUAACGUUGUUCCAUGGUUCAGUUAAAUUCAGCAAGCAUUUAUUGAGCACCUACUGUAUGUCAGCCCCUGUCCUAGGUCCUGGGGAACUAAAGAGAAUGAGAAAUGGCCCCCCGCUCUUGAGGAGCUAAUUUUUGAGACAAUGUGAUAGAUGCCUUCAGGAUGGGUGAUCACAGGGCUCUGAGGCAGCUCACAGAGAAGCAGGUAUUAGGGAGGCUUCUUGGAAAAGCUGACAUCUGAGCUGAGUCUUAAAGGAUGAAUAGGAAUUGACCAGGUAAGUAAAGGUGAGACAGACAUUUGGAGCUAAGAGACAGGGCUAGGGCUAAGCACAGAGUACGGGUCCAGGUCGUGUGUGCAAAAGCCACAGGUAGUUGGUUCUUACAGAAUAGACACUUUGAAGCCACAUCUCCUGCUACGGCUUGAUCCACUGUAACAAGCAGGAGAAUGACCUCUAUGUAUGUGCAUGCACGUGUGUGUGUGUGUGUGUGAGAGAGAGAGAGAGAGAGAGAGAAAGAGAGAGUAUGUGUGUGUGUGCGCGCGCGCGUGUGUGUGUGUGCAGGCAGGCAGUGGUGGCAGCAUCAUACAUUUAG